rnacentral:rRNA from 1 species
CAGUCGAACGGAUAUCUUCGGAUAUGAGUGGCGAACGGGUGAGUAACACGUAGGGAACCUGCCUGCAUGAGCGGGAGAACUUCUGGAAACGGAAGCUGAUACCGGAUGAGCAAAGAGGAGGCAUCUUCUUUUUGGAAAAGGGGACAAGAGUCCCGCAUGCAGAUGGACCUGCGGUGCAUUAGCUGGUUGGAGAGGUAACGGCUCACCAAGGCGACGAUGCAUAGCCGGCCUGAGAGGGCGGACGGCCACACUGGGACUGAGACACGGCCCAGACUCCUGCGGGAGGCAGCAGUAGGGAAUUUUCGUCAAUGGGGGGAACCCUGAACGAGCAAUGCCGCGUGAGCGAGGAAGGUCUUCGGAUCGUAAAGCUCUGUUGCCGGGGACAAAAGGCAGAAAGAGUGGAAAGCUUUCUGAGUGAUGGUACCCGGCGAGGAAGUCACGGCUAACUACGUGCCAGCAGCCGCGGUAAUACGUAGGUGGCGAGCGUUAUCCGGAAUGAUUGGGCGUAAAGGGUGCGCAGGCGGCCGGGCAAGUCCGCAGUAAAAACUGGAGGCUCAACCUUCAGGGGCUGCGGAAACUGUCCGGCUGGAGAGCAGGAGAGGACGGUGGAACUCCAUGUGUAGCGGUAAAAUGCGUAGAUAUAUGGAAGAACACCGGUGGCGAAGGCGGCCGUCUGGCCUGCAUCUGACGCUGAGGCACGAAAGCGUGGGGAGCAAAUAGGAUUAGAUACCCUAGUAGUCCACGCUGUAAAC